rnacentral:rRNA from 1 species
GACGUAGGGCGCGAGCGUUGUCCAGAUUUAUUGGGCGUAAAGAGCUCGUAGGCGGCUUGUCGCGUCGAAUGUGAAAUCUCAGGGCUCAACUCUGACAUUGCAUUCGAUACGGGCAGGCUCGAGUUCGGUAGGGGAGACUGGAAUUCCUGGUGUAGCGGUGAAAUGCGCAGAUAUCAGGAGGAACACCGGUGGCGAAGGCGGGUCUCUGGGCCGAUACUGACGCUGAGGAGCGAAAGCGUGGGGAGCGAACAGG